rnacentral:rRNA from 1 species
UACGAAGGGGGCUAGCGUUGCUCGGAAUCACUGGGCGUAAAGGGUGCGUAGGCGGGUCUUUAAGUCAGGGGUGAAAUCCUGGAGCUCAACUCCAGAACUGCCUUUGAUACUGAGGAUCUUGAGUUCGGGAGAGGUGAGUGGAACUGCGAGUGUAGAGGUGAAAUUCGUAGAUAUUCGCAAGAACACCAGUGGCGAAGGCGGCUCACUGGCACGGUACUGACGCUCAUGUGCGAAAGCGUGGGGAGCAAACAGG